GCCAAGUAGUGAACUCUAUUUUGAAAAGUGCUUUAUCAACUCCCACUCAAAUUCCACUUGAAUUAACUGACUUCCUUGCAAUCAAUUAACUCAUUCCCUGCCAAUACCGUGCAAAGACGUUAUUAAGAAUCCAUCUAUUCCCUGCCAAUGCCUUCUAAAAAUGUCCAUGGCGUUUUUUUAACGGGGAUGGGUGGGGGAGGGUCUUGAGCAGUUUAUGUGUGAUAGUCAAGUCUCUGGAUAACUGCAAUGAGGAUUGGUACUCUGUAGAGGGCAACAAUACCCUGAGGUGAAUGUCCCACCCUCAGAGGAAGAAGAGGAAGAAGAAGGAGGGGACGGGCCGGUGGGCUACAAGAGACAAUUAGAAGAGAAACAUAACGGUGGAAAAGAGAGAAGACAAAAUGAAAAAAAUCUAAAAAAAAAAAAAAGCUUUCGGUGCUAGAUAUUUAUUGCACCAAGGCAAGAAAACUAUUCCUGCGACAGACAGGAAUGACGCCUUAGAUCAUGCGGGGAAUCAAGGAUGACGCUCCGAGCCGAUCGCUUUGUUCCAAAGCUAUCGCGCAAAAUGCCGGCCCAUACAUAUGGCGGGAUGCUCUCGGCCGCUUGCUGGCUGAUCGUCUGCUGAACAGGAUUUGAAUAAAUGGGAUCCGGAAUCGUCAGAGAGUGAACUCCCUUUUGGAUAGCCUGGCGAGCUUCCUCCGAUGAAGAUCGACGAAGUCCGGCGAAUACGAAGGAAUUCAACACCCACGAGUUCAGGGUCUUUUAGGAUUGCGAAGAAGAAAAACUUACAGGUUAUGCAUCCAGCAGACAUUCAACUCCCAUUCUAGUACGCAGUGCAGACACAAAAAGGUUCUGCUUCGAGCAGAAGUAGUGACGGGUUUCAAGGAGAAUGACAACCACACAAGAUCCCAUUCAAUGGCAACAGAUGAAUAAAAUAAGAUGUGGAUAAAACUUCGCUAGAUUUUAUGCGCAAGGUAAUAAAAACCUGGACUAUUGAGCAAAUGGUAGAGGAGGAGAAUUUGGAGGAAAAAAGUACAAGUGUGUGAGGCCCAUUUGUUCAUGCAUUUCUGUCUAAUGUAAAUUCUGUACAUAGUUAUACUUCCAUCCAUCCAUUUUCUCAUAUCCUCACAAGGGUCGCAGGAGUGCUGGAGCCUAUCCCAGCUAUCAUCGAGUAGGAGGCGGGGUACACCCUGAACUGGUUGAUAGUUAUACUUGUGAAUAAAUACAUUUUCAGUCAAAAGUACUUUCUCAGUAUUGUUUUAUGUUCAGAUGUUUGAGAUUUUCACUAAAUAAAAAAAUAUUGGUGUCAAAGUCAUUGUUCUGCUUUAUGUGUCUGCUUUCACAAAAAGGCUGUUUUCUUGUUUUUUUUCUUCCAGAAACAGAUUUGGCUGAAAGUACUCUAUAUUUGACUGCUGAUAACUAAAGAACGGUAUAAGCAAGAGACAAACAUUUCUGAUGAAAGAAGAGAGUCGGAUCUUUCAUUUGGUGGUUUUGGUGUUUACAUCGUCAUAGUACAUAAUAUUCUGCGGGGUUUGGAAAAUCAGUGAAAUUGCUCAAACAUGCCUGGCAGUUUAGGGGUUCCCUGCUCUGGAAAUGGCUGGCGGUGAAUGAGUUCAUCGAUACUGUUCCACUACAGUGUAACCCCGUGUCCUGCUUCGCACUUGGAAGAGGUAAUCGAACAUUUCUGGGUUUGGACGAUUAUCGACACCAGCAGAAAUAUGUACGGGAAUGAAGUUUCAUUCCAACGGCAAUGACGUAACAUGAAAAAGACGUUGCUUGGAUGGCAGCAUAUUUUUCU